CUUAACACAUGCAAGUCGAACGGUGACGAUGGAGCUUGCUCUGUCUGAUCAGUGGCGAACGGGUGAGUAACACGUGAGUAACCUGCCCCCGACUCUGGAAUAACCGUGGGAAACGACGGCUAAUACCGGAUAUGAGACGCACAGGCAUCUGUGGGUCUGGAAAGAUUUAUCGGUCAGGGAUGGACUCGCGGCCUAUCAGCUUGUUGGUGGGGUAAUGGCCUACCAAGGCGACGACGGGUAGCCGGCCUGAGAGGGCGACCGGCCACACUGGGACUGAGAUACGGCCCAGACUCCUACGGGAGGCAGCAGUGGGGAAUAUUGCACAAUGGGCGCAAGCCUGAUGCAGCGACGCCGCGUGAGGGAUGAAGGCCUUCGGGUUGUAAACCUCUUUCAGCAGGGAAGAAGCGAAAGUGACGGUACCUGCAGAAGAAGCGCCGGCUAACUACGUGCCAGCAGCCGCGGUAAUACGUAGGGCGCAAGCGUUGUCCGGAAUUAUUGGGCGUAAAGAGCUCGUAGGCGGUUUGUCGCGUCUGCUGUGAAAACCUGAGGCUCAACCUCGGGCUUGCAGUGGGUACGGGCAGACUAGAGUGCGGUAGGGGUGACUGGAAUUCCUGGUGUAGCGGUGGAAUGCGCAGAUAUCAGGAGGAACACCGAUGGCGAAGGCAGGUCACUGGGCCGCAACUGACGCUGAGGAGCGAAAGCAUGGGGAGCGAACAGGAUUAGAUACCCUGGUAGUCCAUGCCGUAAACGUUGGGCACUAGGUGUGGGGCUCAUUCCACGAGUUCCGUGCCGCAGCAAACGCAUUAAGUGCCCCGCCUGGGGAGUACGGCCGCAAGGCUAAAACUCAAAGAAAUUGACGGGGGCCCGCACA
rnacentral:rRNA from 1 species